GGCCGUGGGUCAGGGAGAUGGGCUCUACCCAGGCUUUUGAGGAGUGUUUACUCUAGGUUCCAGAAGGUGUGAUGUCAAGGUUACUCCUGGCCAGGAGGAGGUGAGUGACACGAGGAGCCCUCGGGGGAUUUGACGGUAGGUGAAGCGAGGCCCGCUGAGGCUCAGAGAGGGUGCAAGCGGGCUUCACUGGGGAAGAGAGUCCACUGAUGGAUGGGCAAGGAGAAUGAACAGGCAUGGCUCUUAGGGGAUCCUCCUAAGGAAGUGGCCUUUCGGAGUCCGCAGUUGGUACCUCUCUGGGGCAAGGUGCAGCCCGGAGAUGCUGCAAUGGUCAAGGCUGGUGGUGGGACGUGGGGGGGUGCACUUUGCUUUCCCAUCCCCUCACUCACCCCUCAGACAUGGUGCUCACUCUUCACACUGCCCUUUGUGAGCUGGUCGUGGAACCACAGAACCUCUGCGGUUCCAUCCGGACUCCACCCCCUAAAGGCAGAACAGCCUGGUCUUAAGAGUUCUGUCCCAUUGUCCCAAUGUUCUAAGACUGAGGAGAGGGGGCUGAGAGGCACAGGAUUGGGGACACUUAUCUCAGAGGACAUCCUGCAGGCAGCCUUGGCCAGGGCAGAGAGUGGGGUCGGCCGCGGCUACUUUCCUUGUGGGGACCAAAUGAAAGAGGGGUCUUGAUUUGAAGUUGCCCUGUAAACUGAGGCUCUGGGUGAAUGGCAGUCUUACAGGCAAUGACUCCCCCUGUACCUCUCGGCUGGAGGACUCAGCCUCCUUCCUCGCACAGGUGGCUGGACUGGAGGCAGGGGGAUUCGAGGGGCAGAGGGGCUGGAGUCGAGCUUGGCAGGCCUGAGAUCCCACUCUGCAGUCACCCCACCCCUUAGAGGGGGCACAAGAACUCACUCUGCUGUUAGUGCCGAGGGUUCGAGGGAGCCAUAGCCGUGCGUGUAAAGGAUGACCUGAAGGAGGAGGUGGGACUCAGGGGUGUUUGGGGCUCGUUUUGAGCCCCCUGUGGGCUUUCCUCUCUCUGCUCCGGGCUCAUGGGAACAUUCUCUGGAAACUAUGGAACAGCAGCUGCGGCCUGCCUCUGAUCAGCCGGGGUGAGCUCACUGGCUCGGUGUUAGGUAGGGACUUAGGUGUAAAUAUGUGAGCCACAGGGCAAAAGAAAGCGGAGGAAGGAAGACAGCAGCAGAGGAGCCAGAGAAAGUCCUGGGUUUUAACGUGCCUUCGGAUCUCCCGAAGAUCUCGCCUAAAAGUGCAGACCCCGAUUCCACAGCCUUCUGGGACCCAAGAUUUGCAUUUCUGAUGAGCUCCCGGGUGUUACAGAUGCUGCUGGCCUCUGAAUCGCACCUUCAGUAGCAAGGCCCGAAACCCAGCGGGAGUGGGGAGGGCGGAGCUGAGGUGCCCACGGACCCCCGAGCCCGCUCCUUUCUAGCUGCGGGUUGGGAGUCAGAUAAUUAGUCCUUAUCUCUGGCGUCUCCACCAGGCUUGGCCGGAGGAAGAAACACCUGUGAAGCUCGCGGGGCCGGGCUUCAGCCAUCAUCACACUGGGCCUUUUCAGCACCUGAGGCUGAAGUUACAGUGGGAACGUAAGGGGUUUUGGACUGGUCACUAAGUCCCACCCCUUCGCCCCACUGCCUCAAGAUUUUUCAAAAUAAAAUUGGGGAAGAAAAGUCAGGCAUCUCAAAAAUAUUCUCACCACUUUGUUCUGAAAUUAAGUGGAAGAAAAAAACAUUAGGGGAAAAUCAAAACAUCUUAUGGGGAGUUCCCUGGUGGUCUAGUGGUUAGGAUUCAGCUCUUUCACUGCUGCAGCCCAGGUUCAACCCCUGGUCUGGGAAGUGAGAUCCCACAUCAGGCCUCUGCAUGCCAUGGCCAGAAAACCCCCAAAACCCCAAACCAAACCAAACCCCCUCUUAUAGAUCCCGGUUGGCUACUUAGAAGCAUCUUUAUAUCUUGAAGAACAGAUCUGUGUAGCCUCAGCACCCAGGACAGGCAAAAGCGACAAUUUGUCUGAAAUGACAUCACAAAACCACGGCCUGAAAGAGUAACAGGUGAGGAAUUUCUGGGCCUGACAGCUCUGGGCCUGACAGCAACAGCCAGCAGCAGAUCCAGGAUUCUAAUCCAGAUCAAGUCCUGCAUCCUCUCACUGAGAAUCAGAACGCGGUACAUUAGCAAAGUACUACCACACGGUGCUCAUCAGGCACACACAGAAAUCAGCUUUUAAAAAGUAUGAGUGGAGUUCCCGUCAUGGUGCAGUAGAAACGAAUCUGACUAGGAACCAUGAGGUGGUGGGUUCAAUCCCCGGCCUCCCUCAGCGGGUUAAGGAUCCAGCGUUGUUGUGAGCUGUGGUGUAGGUCAAAAAUGCGGCUCAGAUCCUGCGUUGCUUUGGCUGUGGCGGAGGCCGGCAGCUGUAGCUCCGAUUCGACCCCUAGCCUGGGAACAUUCAUAUGCCGUGGGUGUGGCCCUAAAAAGCCAAAACAAUAAAAUAAAAA
ensembl:lncRNA